GACGAACGCUGGCGGCGUGCUUAACACAUGCAAGUCGAACGGGAGUAUUGAAGAAGCUUGCUUUAGAGAUACUUUAGUGGCGGACGGGUGAGUAACGCGUGAGGAGCUGUCCGAUGCAGGGGGACAACAGUUGGAAACGACUGCUAAUGCCCCAUAAGCCGAGAGGUAAAAGGAUUUAUCCGGCAAUGGAGGUACUCGCGUCCUAUCAGCUAGUAGGUGAGGUAACGGCUCACCUAGGCGAAGACGGGUAGCCGGCCUGAGAGGGCGAACGGCCACACUGGAACUGAGAUACGGUCCAGACUCCUACGGGAGGCAGCAGUGGGGAAUAUUGGGCAAUGGGGGGAACCCUGACCCAGCGACGCCGCGUGGGUGAAGAAAUCCUUCGGGAUGUAAAGCCCUGUUGUAUGGGAAGAGCGGAAGACGGUACCAUACGAGGAAGCCCCGGCAAACUACGUGCCAGCCGCCGCGGUAAAAC
rnacentral:rRNA from 1 species